CCUCUGUACUUGGUGCUUAAGCAGAAUCACAGCAAGGAUCUCAUUGAACAUAAUAAGAUAACUAUCGAGAGUUUGAAAGCGUUCAUGGAAACAUCCAGUGUUGGUGAAUUCAGAAGACGCAUUCAACUUCUUUUUGCUUUACAUGGAUAUAUCAAAGCUGGAAUUUGCAGAGGGCUCUUCUCAAGCUCAUAUUAUGAGGAAAAUUUGAAGAUCAUGUACAAUAUGUUUGGGUUCUAUGCGCAACAUUUGCCUGUGUAAGUUUCUGGCUUUUUCUUUAUAUUUUUUUUUAUAUUUCUUACUUCUGAAUUAGAUCUUUUCUCAA